UCUGGAAACGGAGAUCAUCUCCAAAGAAGACCAUCAUUUUCUACUAUGGACAAUGUGGAUGCUAGUUCUCUCCCAUUCACAGGUGUGGAAAUGGCCUGUAGCCUGCAGGAGCCUGAGGAGAAGAGAGGAGCUAGCAGCCCCAGUCAAGUCUAGCGAAGUGCAUCUUGGCCUGCAGUGAUGGCUGUUUCCCCCAGAAAGUUCUUCCACUUCUGGAUCCCACCUCGACUGAACCUUACACAAUCUACUGCUGGACUUUCCAAUGGCAUGAGUUGGGGAAAGAAGCUGAACUCAGGAGGUGGCAUGACCAGCCCAAUGCUACACAACUAAGGAGUUGCAGACCCAGACCCAGGACUGCCCCUUUCCAAGUCAAAGAAUAUGUUCUCACUCCUGUACAGGAUGCAAAUCACAGGCAGAUGAUUCCCAAAGACUCUUCUCCUCCGCCCAGAUCUUGAUGUCCUACCAUCCCCUGAAGUUGAUGUAUGUGGGGUUCUGAAAGGUCUCAACACGUGGCAGUAGGCAGCAGAAUUAAUUCCCUGUGCCUCCUGCAAUUCCCUGAGCCUCCCUUUCUCAAAACGCCAGCUUUCUCACAAGGAUAGCCUGAGACAUACGGAAGUGGGAAUGAUGUUCUGUUCUCAGGUGAAGUGUUUGUGCAUAUGUGUGUGUCGGGGGAGAGGAAGGUAAGCAAAACCAGUUGUUCUCAGAUGACUUGCAGCACCUGAGCAUGUCCUUUAUUUUAUCUUUUUUUUAAAAAAAAUACUUAAUAGCAUUUUCACUUCCUAGUUUCUCCAUUAUGUUGAAGUUGAAUAGUCUUUGGUAGGUCUUGUCUUACUUUUCAAGAACAUUAUGGGAAUUCUGCAAAAAGAUAGCUACAUGCAAAGCUAUCAUUUCUAUUGUUACAAAAAUAUGUGACACACUUACCUUAUGCUAUCAAAGAUGAAUGCUAUCCUCCACAUAUCCUUUAAAUGGGCUUCACAAGAAGAGGAUGGUCCCAUUUCUGAACAUUGCCUUGUCAAUGGAUGAGGAGGUUUGCACUCAGUCAAACUGGUUAAGCUAGAAUCAUAUUUCCCUAAAUCUCUUGUCCUGUUUAUUUCCAGGUGAUGAUUGGCCAAUAAAAUAAAUUUAGACGUGAUUUGGAUAGUAAAAAUGAAGCCACAGUCACUGAUCACUGAAGAUCAUUGUGGGUACAGGUGGGAGCUAAGAGCUAGCAAGGUAUCAGUGGGAUUUACAAGUCUUUUCUUUAUUCUUUAUCCUGCUCUUCUUGUCAAUUGCCAGAUUUCCUGACCAACAAAGGGCCCAGGCCGACUGCCACAAGUCUGAAUGCAGACCUGCAGAAGCAGCAGCAACUCAAAAGGACAGCAUUCCACAGACCUUCCCUGCACUGCCCUUCAUAGCCCACUCUGCAGCUGGACCUGCCUACUCGCCAUACACCCUGAAAGCUCCCACUUAUCCACCUAACCUCAACUUGCUCUAGUGUUCGAGGAGGGCUGAGUGGUGGUUUUCCUCGGGCCUUCCAACACUUGCCCUUCUCCCCCAAGUAUUACAAGCCCUCAUUCUAAAUAUAUCCCUGAUUUCAUAAUACUAAUAGAAGUGCUGCUUCUCUGAUUAAACCCUGACUGACACAUGGAGUGUUUUAUUACCAUUUAAUAAACAUCAUGUCAAACCUAAUGAUUUACGGUCAACAUAAAUUACACAGGGAAGGUGAGCAAAAGAAUCCCUUUCCUUUUUGCCUCUAUGCUGUUCUAGUUUCAGCUGGCCUGAGCUUCCCUCUCUUGGACUCUUCAGUCUAACAGCUAACCCAUAUAUGACACAAAGAUCAAAGGUCAGAUUCUUGGGCUCCAUUAAGGCUGCUACUUUAAAUGACAGCACUAUUUAUGGACUCUUUAUUGAAGACAGAUCACCCUUGGAGGCUGCCACAACCUUUACUCAUAAAUCAGACAUCAAGUGCCUCUUGGGGGCUAAAUACUGCCUCUCCUGUUGAAGACAUGAAGGGGUGUAACAUAUACUCAAUUUGCUGCCACACAAGGAUUUAGAAUCUGCUUACUCCCUCAACCUAGGACUCAAGGUCCAGACAAGGAAAUUUGAUUUUUUUUUUCUUCCUUUUUCUUUCCCUGCCAGCCACACACACCAGCCGGUGUUCCCAGGGGACACUGGCAACUGUAUGUAGGCUGAGCUUUGGCGUAGAAGAAAUAAA
rnacentral:lncRNA from 1 species